rnacentral:lncRNA from 1 species
UUGUUAUUUCCUUUCCAUUUGUGUCCAAUUAAGACCUACACAACCAGGUGAGAGGAGUUCCUAACUAAUCUGUGACCUUAAAGCGACAAUCAGCGUUGAAACAAUAACAAAGUACCUUCCCACCACGGUUUCAGAAAAAGUGGGGGAAUGCAGCUGGAGAAAUGUAACCACUCUUCAAUUCAAAGACAGAGCUACGGAUUCAAGGACUGACCAUCCAUGAUAUCAAAAUUAUAGUUUUAACCAUGUUUUUAGGCUAUACAUUUACUUUGUUUACAAACAAUGGAGUUAAACAAGCUUAUAGUUUGGGUUCUGGUGGGGUACGACAGUUGAACUAAACUAAGCUCAUGAGCCUAAAUUAUUCAAUCAAUGGGUAAAUUUUCAUUUACUGUAGGCUAUAAGUAAAACAAUGGAUGUAGAAACCUCUGAUCGCUCCUUUAAUUAAUCAAGUAUAAGGCAGAUACUGCCCUCUAUGGAAUGAGUUUGACACCUGUGGCUUAGUGGAAUCCUUGAGACGACCAACUGACAACACCCUAUUGAAGUUUCAAUUCAAAGAGUUAAGGUAAGGUUAGGGCAGUGGUGGAGAAAAUACCCAAUUAUCAUACUUGAGUAAAAGUAAAGAUACGUUAAUAGAAAAUGACUCAAGUAAAAGUCACCCAGUAAAAUACUAGUAUCAAAAGUAAAAUUAUAAAUAAUUUAACUGCUUAUAUUAAGCAAACCAGAAGCCACAAUUGUAUUUAAAAAAAUGUAUUUAGAUAGCCAGGGGCGCACUACAACACUUCCACAUAAUUUACAAACGAAGCAUUUGUGUUUAGUGAGUCUAUGCACAGACCCGCGUUUUGAAAAGUCGGUUUAAUAAUAGGCCUACCUUCCUGUGGAUAUUUUGUCUCAAAUGUCAAUGGUGGAAGGACUAAUCCAAUGCACAACCGAAUACUGCCUCUGAAAUAAUUGAAGCAGCUUCUGGAUGGUCGAGGAACAGGGUCAUCUAUUCCACCAAGACCAGCUGGCUCUACUGGGUACGAUCAUGAAGGAUGUUCUCCACCAGCGAGGUUCUCCAUACCUCUGACGGAGGACCUUCUACCACGGGUCAUCACAGUGAGCCAGUCCCCCAGCCUACCCACCCGUCUGUCCGCCCAGGUCAGGGAUUUCCCUGCUGAGAGGACGGGCGUUGGAGUGGGCUACGGCCGUCUAGGAGAGAGGAGUCUAGGAGCUAGGUUCCUAUAAGAGGUUUAUGGCUCUGUUUCAGGCUUUCUUCGACCGUUCUCCAGAUGGCAAAGAGGGAGGUGAGUGACUUUUCCAACACCAGCGGGUGCCCAGACCGCUAAGGAAUGAGCCCUCCCCUUUCUGACUGUGGCAGCCUCCAGCUGGAAUGAGCCAGUGUUCCGCAAUCUAUUCCACAGUGGACUGCGCAAGGAGGUCCAGACAGAGUUUGCAUGUCAGGAUGACAACAUAUCCUUGGACGCUCUCAUCGCAAUGGCCAGCCGUCUAGAUAAUCUUUGGGAGUGCCUGUGUCCACCUUGCCACUUGCCUCCCUCCUUUGGCUGUCCUGAGGCAGAGCCUGAAGCCAUGGAGGUAGGGGCCACACACCUCUCCGCUGCAGAGCGGUGUUGUCGGAGACAGCUGGGGCCCUGUCCAUAUUGCGGCCAGGAGGGGCACCAGCUUCAGUGGUGUGUGUGUGUCCCAACCCUGGGUCCACUAGAGACCUUCUGUCUCCCAGGGUAGGUGUGAGUAUUCAUUAUCAUUGUUUUCUGUUAAACCCUUUCUGGUUUCCAUUUCGCUGGCUGUCCCUCAAGUGUUGUCUCUACAGCUCUAGUGGACCGGUGCUGCUGGGAACUUCAUUGACCAGGCCCUCGCUUCCUCCCUGAACUUAACUUCAUACCUGCUCUCCUCUCCUUUUCCUGUCCAAGCCCUGGAUACGCAACCAUUGGGAUCUGACACAAUUGCACACAUCACAGCACCACUCUCCCUCACCGUGGGACCCAUGCACCAGGAAAGCCUCCCCUUCCUCACCACCGCACCUGUACAUAGUCAUCCUCGGCCUCCUGUGGCUCCAACUUCAUAACCCCACCCUCUCCUGGUCGAGGAUGAGAAUUGCCGCCUGGGGAACAGGAUGCCGGAGGACCCGCUUUCCCACACCCUGUGGUUUCACGUUGGUGGAGGAACCCGCUCCUGCUACCUGCCCUCCAGAGCGCAUCUACAUCCUCACAGGGGUGAGAGAUUGGCUGUUGACCUGGACACACACAUCCCUCACCACUGGACACCCAGGGAUCACCCGCACCAUCAAUCCCUCUCCAAUAAAUACUUCUAUAAAUAGACAAGAGCCUGCAACCAUGGAGAGGCCCCUGCAGUGGACGAGUGGUUCCGACAUAGUGGUUGGUGUGGAACGCCGCCCACGUGAGGCUCAAGCGCGCUGUCCGCAAUAAGGCAGACCGCCACCGCAGUGAGGCUCCCAUGUUACAUCCUGGUGAUCGUGUCUGGCUCUCCACCAGGAACCUCCCGCUCCACCUGCUGGAAGCUGAGCCCCCAGUUUUUGGGGCCUGUCAUGCUAAUGUGUCCCCCUCUGCUUCACAAUGGGAUUCGAUAAACUAUUAGUGUCCAUUGCUAUAUCAACGGUGACUAAUGAUUUGAAAUGUGGUAAUCAUUACAGCCUAAAUGUUAUUUUCAUCAUCGCUAUGCAAACAAGGCUGAUUCCGGAC